rnacentral:misc_RNA from 1 species
UAUAUAUGUAUGAAAAAAUUCAAAGUAUUUACUUGUUGAAAACAAUGUUCAAGUUUUGGUUAUCAAAACGAUAAACAAUACUUUUGUAUGUUUUAUAUGAAUAAAAGCAGAAAAAGAAUUGAUUCUACAGUGAAAAUAUGCACAGUUUUUUAAGCGUUUAAAUAAAUGUUGAAACAAUUGUGAAUCCAAUUCAUUAAUGCCUUGUUUACAUGUGACAGUAAAAGUUUUGUUGUGUUCAACUUCUUGUCUAAAUAAAACACGUCUAAGUAUUGAUUUUUUUGUUCUGGAUGUAUUACUAUAGUUUUUUUUAUAUAUUAGACGCUUUCUCACGAUAGACGUCGCUUAGAACCGAUAGUAAUAUUAAUUUCGGUAAAAAGAGAACCAGUUUAAUCCACAAAGCAUUAUAUUAUCGCUCAACUCUGUUGAACAUUCCAUGAUAAUUCUUUCUCUUAAAAAGCUUUAACAAAAAUAAUCAUUUAAAAAAAAAUCGUACUAGAUUAUGAAUGACAAUUGGCAGACAUUGGUUAUAUUAAAUUAAAGGAUCUUUAAACAAUUAUCUAAAAACACGCAUAUAGCAGAAGAAGAGGAAAAAUAUUUACAUAUCUUUUACAAUUUUAAGUGAUCAGCAUAAAAAUGGCAUCUAGUUUUUAUGUUCCAACUCAAGCAAGAGAUAGUUCUGCUGUUCAAAAAUUGCUCAAGGAUGGUGACUUAUGCGAUUUGGCUAUUCGAUGUCCAGUUAUGAUGAUAAAUGAAUUAGAAAAGACCACAAAAGUUGUUGCUUUAGUUAAGCAUACAGUUUCUGAAGAUUAUAACGGAUUUCCAACAACAACUGGUAACAAUUUUGAAUAUGGGUAUGAUAUAAAUUUCUUAAUAAUAUAUAAUUAAUAUAUAUCCUGUCAUUAAUAUUAACUAUUAUCUAGCUUAUUUAAUUAUUGUGGUUAUUUUAUUAAAGAAAGCUCUUGAAUUGAUUAUAGACAAAACAAUAUCUCUUCCUUGUAGAAUAUUUCUGUAUAAAGACUGCAAUAGGCCACCAAAAGAACCAAAUUUAAAUUUAGACGAUACCAUAGCAAUAAACGAUCAAUUUACACUAAAUAUUCGUAAGUAUGCAUGGUCUAAAUACUCUAAAAUGUGUCGUCUAUUAACUAUACUGUAUUACAGAGCAUACUGCUGACAAGAGGUCAACAAAGAAACUGUUACAAGGGAUGGGUAAUAAGUCACCUCCGAAAGAUUACGUUUCCGUCCAAUUAUCAAAUUCCGAUGAUAAAUGCAUACUGGAAAUUCCAAAGUCAUUAAGCGAUUCAUUCUUCAAUCAUUUGAAAAAAGCAAGAGAAUUUCAAAAUAAGGCACAGUGUAAAUGGAUAACGAAUAGCUAUAUUAAUAUAUUUCCAAUGGAUAAAUUCGAAGUUGCAACUGAGGCAACCGAAAAGCUUUGCACUGAAGAUGCUUGGCCUAAUUGUGACGGUGGUGAUGAGAGCGCUCUGUUAGAUGACGAUAAGUUUAAAAUGGAUCAUUUUGGCGAUACUGACUCUACUGAAAGAGAUGUUAGAGAAAAAAUAAAGAGAACGUUAAUAAAAGAAAGACAAUCUGAAUAUACUACAAAAUCCGGGAUUAGGGUAUUUUGUGGUACUUGGAAUGUUAACGGUCAAUUGCCGAACGAAGAGACUUAUCCCCUUGAUGCUUGGCUACAUCUGGACGAAGCUGCUGAUAUUUACGCUAUUGGAUUCCAAGAAUUGAAUUUAAAUGUUACAGCUCAUAUCGUAAACGAUCCAUUAAAGGAAGGUAAAUGGAAGAAAUACAUAGAAGAUUUCUUCAAAAAUAAUCGUGUUACAAAAAAUAUCAAAUUUGAAAUGGUCUCAUCAAUAAAACUUGUUGGAAUAUUACUAAUAGUUUACGCAAAUAAAAAACUUAUGUCUAAAAUAACUGAUGUUAGACAACAUAGUUACGCCACUGGUAUAGCUGGAAUAUUGGGAAAUAAAGGUGGUGUUGCAGUUGGAUGCAAAGUCUAUGAGACGAGUAUAUGUUUUGUUAAUUGCCAUUUGGCUGCUCAUCAGGAAUAUUUUGAGGAAAGGAAUAAACAGUUCCAAUAUAUCUAUAAACGUUUAGAACUGCCGCCAACUAAAGAUUCGCAAUAUCCAGAAACGCUUUUGAUCGAUAGUUACAACACAUUAUUUUGGCUGGGCGAUUUAAAUUAUCGCAUAAAUGAGAGCUACGAGUACGUUGUUGAGUUGGUUGAUAUUGAUGCUGAAAAUGUAUAUGAUACACUGAGGAAAUCUGAUCAGCUAUACAUACAAAGAAAGGCAAGGAAUGCAUUUGCUGAUUUUCACGAAGCUGAAAUUUGCUUUGCACCAACUUAUAAAUAUGAUCCCGGAACUGAUAGAUUUGACUCAAGCCAUCCUGCCCUGAAGUUGAGUGAUCAUAAGCCGGUAUCCUGUUUAGCCUCAACUGAAGUGAGCGAAAUUGACGAGAAGGCAUAUAAGAGAGUUUACAAAGAUGUUCAAAGUACAUUAGAUCUUAGAGAGAAUGAAAUGCUUCCAAAAUGCAUUUUAAGCUGCCAAGAGAUUGAUUUUUCAACUCUCGUUGUCGGAGAGGAGUACAAAGAAACUUUAACAUUGCACAACGACGGACAAUCAACGUUCAGUUAUAAGUUUAAAGAUCAUCUUGAAAGCAAAAAGUGUUGUCCUGAUUGGAUCAGUAUCCAUCCAAAAACAGGAGAUGUUCCCAAAGGACGGAAAACAGAGAUUGAAAUAUCUGUAAAUGUCGGAUAUAAUCAUAUGACGCAAUUUUAUGAAAAAUAUGGAAAGUUUUAUAUGGAGGAGGUAUUAAUUUUGGAUUUGGUCAAAGGAUCUGACAAGUUCAUAACUGUCAAAGGCGAAUUAACACCUUCCGCAUUUGGUCUUAGCUUAGACAUUUUAUGCAGAAUGAAUUUUAGAGCAGUUGCUUUGGAGAGUGAAAGGCUAAAAGAAUUGAGAUAG